rnacentral:rRNA from 1 species
UCGAGGGGAAACGAUAUUGGAAGCUUGCUUCCGAUAGGCGUCGACCGGCGCACGGGUGAGUAACGCGUAUCCAACCUGCCCACCACUUGGGGAUAACCUUGCGAAAGUAAGACUAAUACCCAAUGAUAUCUCUAGAAGACAUCUGAAAGAGAUUAAAGAUUUAUCGGUGAUGGAUGGGGAUGCGUCUGAUUAGCUUGUUGGCGGGGUAACGGCCCACCAAGGCAACGAUCAGUAGGGGUUCUGAGAGGUUAACCCCCACAUUGGUACUGAGACACGGACCAAACUCC